rnacentral:sRNA from 1 species
UUAACUGUGCAUGAAGACAUACCCUACCGUUCUUUUUUUAUUAACUGAAAAGGUAGGACAUGGACAUUGGCUGUGUAAGCACCCUCACAUUGCCAUGCCAAUGUGCCUCAACCCGGGACUGGAGGGACCCUAGAGGUGAAAGGGUAGUUCAUUCUGCAUACCUAUUACAUCCUUGCCUUU